GAACGGCGGAGGAACUGUUCGGCUGCCGGAUGAUUGGGGAUCUUCAUGGUAGCGGUAUCCCAGAGAAGUUUCUGGCCGGGGGUACGGAUGGCGACGGUGCCGAGGAGGAUGGCCUCGGUCAUGGGACCGGUCUGGGCGAAGUUGCUUUCGGCGGUGGGUCCGCCGAGGCAGGCGUCAAGGAAGAGAUGAUAAUGAUUGCGGCUGGCGGGUUUGGGUUUGGGGAAGUUGCGGAACUUUUCCUCAGGCAGGA
rnacentral:rRNA from 1 species